UCUUAUGGGUGAGUAAAGAAAGUGGUUUUUUGAGAUGGAGUCUACUCCCCAUGAAGAUACUGUGAA
rnacentral:pre_miRNA from 1 species